CGGGAUGAUGAACCUCCAUCCCAACUGAAUAAAUGAUGAAUGCACAUCAGGCUGACA
rnacentral:ncRNA from 14 species